UCUUCCGUUUUCUUUUGAAUUUGUCUUUGUUGUUUUUCUUUGCUUCUCCCCCUUUUGGCAGUCGUCUUCUUUCUUCGUUGUCUUUAUUUGCUUCUCCCGCUCUUGCCAGUCCUUUUCUUUUGUUUUUGAAUCGUUCUGAACACCUGAAUUAAGUGAUCAAUCUUAUAAACGAAAAAGAAAAUCUGUGAAAAGUGCGCUUUUCAUUUUUGAUGAAUAAAGCGUUUGAAGGGUGUUCUACUCAAGGUUUGCACUGUCAGUGCUCAGCUUCUCUCUCAGUGUAUGUGAAUGGCAAUAUAGUUGAUGCCUUCCUCGCAGUGUUCAAUUGAUAUUUCUUUCGGUUAAGCAGUGGUCAUGCUGUCUUUUCUUUUGGCAAUCUCAUUCUUUUAAUCAGUUACGCUUUUAAACAAACUGUUAUAGGUCUAUAGUUUUGGAAGUGUAGUUGUUACAUUAUUGUUCAGCCUCUUUGAAAAUUCUUUCUGCAUUAUUUGUCAAUUCACAAACCUUGAAUCUUAUUUCAGCAGUUUAAAAUGGAAGAUCGAGGUCCAACUCCUCUUGAUCGAUUGGUCGCAUAUUAAAAAAUUGGAAAAAAUUAAAGUUCGUAUCUGCAGAAUAUCGAGACCAAGAUUUUCAGGCAUGAGUGAUAAAUAUGCAGGUCUAUACUGUGUAUUAGUUGAUGAAAGGAUGUUAUUGGUCAUGCGGUUGGAGUCCAGCGUUUGGAGCCCGUAAAAGUGAACCAAAGAAUUGAUCACAAGUGUGAUGUGGUUAUUCAAAAUAUCAGGAAAGACGAAGCUAAGAUUACAUUAUGGUUAGACAUUGCACACAACUUUACUUCUUUAUCGUUCGAUUCACUGCCUGAAGCAAGAAUUAUUGUUUUUACGAACUUGAAAGUCAAGCUAUUUGGAGAACAUUCUCUUGAGCAAGUGAUCGAACAGACGAAUUUUGAAAUGAUUCCAAUCCGAGGAUGUUCGUGUCAAAGUUUCAUAUUUUUGUACCAUAAUUCAACUUGCCCAACUUGCCCAUGGCUGCUCACUUCUCUUCUGCAAUGGUGGAAGCUGCUUUGUAUUAUCUGCUUAGGCACCCCAAGGCUCAAACUGUCGAACGGUAUGAAAACAGAGAUCGGGUGGAGAGAUCGAGAGAGAGGGAGAGAAAGAGAUUCGACUGAUUCAAUUGCAAAAAUGGUAGAAAUGGAAUUGAAUUGAAAUAAAAAAAUGAUAAUGGAGAAUAGACGGAGAGAUCAAGAAAGGGAGGAAAGAUUAAAUAGGCAAAGACUUGCCGUCAACCGCAAAAUCGGAAACUAAUUGCUUGAGUCAGUCUUAUUGGGCUGGUUUGAUGUUGAAUUUGGCCUAUCAUGGUUUUUUUAUAUGCAAAAAUUUUGCUCACGGAUGGACAAGGCAUUGCCUGGCUACCUGACUGUCUCUACCUUUCUCCGUCAAGAUGCUGUUAACUUAAUAUGCCUGGCUAGUUUGAUUAAUCAAAUUAUCUCCUAAUUAACUAAUUAAAGCUCAACAACUAUUACGAUCUGGACAACUUCCUGCUUCAACGGGCAACGGCAGAGGACGAAGACGAAGCAGCAAGAUCUGAACCCGAAGUGGGACAAGAAGCUCGAGUUAACGAAUAAAUUCAGAACCCACAACCCAGAAUCCAAAACGCAGUACCCCAUUUCCACCAUCCACCCCACCUCUGCCGAAAAGACCUCUUCGCGCCACCACCUGCACCAAAUGAAGGCUACCACCAUUACCAUAACCAGCCAUUUCUUAUUCUUGAAGGCCCGACCGGAAACUCCAUCGCAGACACCCAAAACCCAGCCCCAAUCUCUCAAUCAAUUUGAAUCUAAAUUGAAGGAAGAAUUCUUGUUUUCCAGAGAGAUUCAAGAGAUUGAAAGAAGAUGGAAGAGAGAAGGUCCAAAGCCAUAAAUGUAAUUUUCAUUUUUUCUUUUCAUAUUUUCGGUGGCGGGCAUAGGCUGAUUCGGAAAUUGGAUUAGGGGAUUAAGGGGUUUGCAGGGGGAGAGGGAGAAGAGCAGAGAGUUAUGGAGGUUUGGAGAGAGAAGAAGAGGAGACAGGGGGGGAAGAAGGAGGAGGGGAAAAUGAAGAUACUUUCAUGGUUUAGGGAGUGUGUGAAGGUCUGAGAAGGUGUUG